AAGCGCGCGCAUUCGUAAUAAAACAUGCCUCACACGGCUACAGGGGGUGAAUAAAGGCCUCCUGUAGCGAAUCCAUGUGUUUUUGUAAGAAAAAUAUCCAUAUUCCAAACGUAAUAAACACCGUUCUGUCAGACAUACACUGAAGCAGUUCCGGCAGAUGACGUAUGACGUCGGCGUUGCUAUUAGUGACAAAUGCGCGAGAGAGCAAAACAACACACCGGUUACGAAUUAGAAGUACAAACCGAGGAUUUGCGAAGAAAAAUGUCGGAUUUCGAUAUAAACAAUAUAGACAAUUUUUAAUAUAACUCCGAAUGUAUUCGUCUGAAAGAACAAAAGUCAUAUACACCUAAGGAUGCCUCGAGGGGUGUUCAGUAGGAGAUUUCAUAUCAUGCCUUGUCAGGAAGAGAGUUUCCGACCUCCUUCAUGCUGUGGAUCUUGUGGUUGAGGACGCUCGACUGCUCGAUGAGACUCUCCGCGGCAGUGUCGUGCUCCUUCAGCCGCUCCAGCAGCGUCCGCGCGUCGCCCAGCACCUUCUCCAUCGAGCACAUCUCCACCUCCACAAACUACACCGCUGCCCUCAGCGAGCCUGAUGCUAACAGUCGAAGUAGAAAAUGGUGAGAUAUAUUACAUAUUUACUUCCUUAUAUCGAGCACAAGAUGCAAAUCUACUAAGAUAGACGAUUAAGGAAAGCUGUCAAGGAAAA